rnacentral:rRNA from 1 species
UACGGAGGGUGCGAGCGUUGUCCGGAAUCACUGGGCGUAAAGGGCGCGUAGGCGGCCGCGUAAGCGUGUGGUGAAAGCCCGGGGCUCAACCCCGGGUCGGCCAUGCGAACUGUGCGGCUCGAGCACUGUAGAGGCAGAUGGAAUUCCGGGUGUAGCGGUGGAAUGCGUAGAGAUCCGGAAGAACACCGGUGGCGAAGGCGGUCUGCUGGGCAGUGGCUGACGCUGAGGCGCGACAGCGUGGGGAGCAAACAGG